GGGUUGUGAGGUUAAGCGACUAAGCGUACACGGUGGAUGCCCUGGCAGUCAGAGGCGAUGAAGGACGUGCUAAUCUGCGAUAAGCGCCGGUAAGGUGAUAUGAACCGUUAUAACCGGCGAUUUCCGAAUGGGGAAACCCAGUGUGAUUCGUCACACUAUCAUUAACUGAAUCCAUAGGUUAAUGAGGCGAACCGGGGGAACUGAAACAUCUAAGUACCCCGAGGAAAAGAAAUCAACCGAGAUUCCCCCAGUAGCGGCGAGCGAACGGGGAGGAGCCCAGAGCCUGAAUCAGCAUGUGUGUUAGUGGAAGCGUCUGGAAAGGCGCGCGAUACAGGGUGACAGCCCCGUACACAAAAGCGCAUGUGUUGUGAGCUCGAUGAGUAGGGCGGGACACGUGGUAUCCUGUCUGAAUAUGGGGGGACCAUCCUCCAAGGCUAAAUACUCCUGACUGACCGAUAGUGAACCAGUACCGUGAGGGAAAGGCGAAAAGAACCCCGGCGAGGGGAGUGAAAAAGAACCUGAAACCGUGUACGUACAAGCAGUGGGAGCCCCACCACUAAGCCAGUGGUGAACUCCACAUACGCAUCCUUUGCUGAGGAUACGGUUAACGGAGCGAAAGCGACGUUCAACCGCAAAAGAAGCAGAGGGGGCUUAGUGGUGGGGUGACUGCGUACCUUUUGUAUAAUGGGUCAGCGACUUAUAUUCUGUAGCAAGGUUAACCGUAUAGGGGAGCCGGAGGGAAACCGAGUCUUAACCGGGCGUUAAGUUGCAGGGUAUAGACCCGAAACCCGGUGAUCUAGCCAUGGGCAGGUUGAAGGUUGGGUAACACUAACUGGAGGACCGAACCGACUAAUGUUGAAAAAUUAGCGGAUGACCUGUGGCUGGGGGUGAAAGGCCAAUCAAACCGGGAGAUAGCUGGUUCUCCCCGAAAGCUAUUUAGGUAGCGCCUCGUGAACUCAUCUCCGGGGGUAGAGCACUGUUUCGGCUAGGGGGCCAUCCCGGCUUACCAACCCGAUGCAAACUGCGAAUACCGGAGAAUGUUAUCACGGGAGACACACGGCGGGUGCUAACGUCCGUCGUGAAGAGGGAAACAACCCAGACCGCCAGCUAAGGUCCCAAAGUCAUGGUUAAGUGGGAAACGAUGUGGGAAGUCCCAGACAGCCAGGAUGUUGGCUUAGAAGCAGCCAUCAUUUAAAGAAAGCGUAAUAGCUCACUGGUCGAGUCGGCCUGCGCGGAAGAUGUAACGGGGCUAAACCAUGCACCGAAGCUGCGGCAGCGACACUAUGUGUUGUUGGGUAGGGGAGCGUUC
rnacentral:rRNA from 1 species